GCUUAGCCAUAAACAUUGACAGUACUUAACAUUUUCUGUCCGCCUGGGAACUACGAGCACCAGCUUAAAACCCAAAGGACUUGGCGGUGCUUUAGACCCACCUAGAGGAGCCUGUUCUAGAACCGAUACUCCCCGUUCAACCUCACCCCUCCUUGCCAAUCCCGCCUAUAUACCACCGUCGUCAGCUUACCCUUUGAGGGACAAACAGUAAGCAAAACUGGCAUUGCCCAGCACGUCAGGUCGAGGUGUAGCGAAUGGAGGGGGAAGAAAUGGGCUACAUUCCCUUGCCGACAGGGAACUACGAAUGGUGCACUGAAAACGUGCUCCUGAAGGAGGAUUUAGCAGUAAAAGGGAAAUAGAGAAUUCCUUUGAAGCCGGCUCUUAAGCGCGC
rnacentral:rRNA from 1 species